AUUGAACGCUGGCGGAAUGCUUUACACAUGCAAGUCGAACGGCAGCACGGGUGCUUGCACCUGGUGGCGAGUGGCGAACGGGUGAGUAACAUAUCGGAACGUACCCAGUAAUGGGGGAUAACUAGUCGAAAGAUUAGCUAAUACCGCAUACGCCCUGAGGGGGAAAGCGGGGAUCGUAAGACCUCGCGUUAUUGGAGCGGCCGAUAUCUGAUUAGCUAGUUGGUGGGGUAAAGGCCUACCAAGGCGACGAUCAGUAGCUGGUCUGAGAGGACGACCAGCCUCACUGGAACUGAGACACGGUCCAGACUCCUACGGGAGGCAGCAGUGGGGAAUUUUGGACAAUGGGCGCAAGCCUGAUCCAGCCAUUCCGCGUGAGUGAAGAAGGCCUCGGGUUGUAAAGCUCUUUCGCAAGGGAAGAAACGAUACGAGCGAAUAGCUCGUGUUAAUGACGGUACCUUGAUAAGAAGCACCGGCUAACUACGUGCCAGCAGCCGCGGUAAUACGUAGGGUGCGAGCGUUAAUCGGAAUUACUGGGCGUAAAGCGUGCGCAGGCGGUUUUGUAAGUCAGAUGUGAAAUCCCCGGGCUCAACCUGGGAACUGCGUUUGAAACUACAAGGCUAGAGUAUAGGAGAGGGGGGUAGAAUUCCACGUGUAGCAGUGAAAAUGCGUAGAGAUGUGGAGGAAUACCAAUGGCGAAGGCAGCCCCUGGCCUAAUACUGACGCUCAUGCACGAAAGCGUGGGGGAGCAAAACAGGAUAGAUA
rnacentral:rRNA from 1 species